UACGUAGGGUCCGAGCGUUGUCCGGAAUUAUUGGGCGUAAAGAGCUCGUAGGCGGUCUGUUGCGUCGGUUGUGAAAACCUGGGGCUCAACUCCAGGCCUGCAAUCGAUACGGGCAGACUAGAGUUCGGUAGGGGAGACUGGAAUUCCUGGUGUAGCGGUGAAAUGCGCAGAUAUCAGGAGGAACACCGGUGGCGAAGGCGGGUCUCUGGGCCGAAACUGACGCUGAGGAGCGAAAGCAUGGGGAGCGAACAGG
rnacentral:rRNA from 1 species